GAAGUGACAUUGGAGCACCUUCCAGUGCCUAAAGGGGAUCCAGGAGAGCUGGAGAGGGACCUUGGACAAGGGCCUGGAGGGACAGGAGAAGGGGGAAUGGCUUCCCACUGCCAGAGGGCAGGGUUAGAUGGGAUACUGGGAGGGA